AUUCAUUUGAUCCAUCGUGGAUUUUGGAAACACUUCAAAUACGAGUUGUGUUUCAUGUAGGCUUAUCUUGGCGUGAAGUUUUGAUAACCAUAUGAAUCUCUCUCGGACAAGGUGACUUUUCUCAGUAUAUUCUCCUCUAUUUACCCCUCAAAAAUGUCAUGCUAAUUAGCUGCUAAUGUGGCUAUCGUACAGAAUUACAAGUGCCUGUCUCAAGCUUCACGUCACUCACCAGGGCCAUGAUGAUCUGGACAAGACUGCCGAAUCGAGGCAAAGAACCAAUGGUUGUGCCUGAGUCUUAUCACCUCUCAACUAGGUUAGCUGUUUCAACCUGGAACAGUAUUCCAGGUUUAUAUAUAGCACAUGCUCCACUCUCAAGUUGAAGUUGAACUUGUUGACUGAUGCCAUGGUGGCGGCUGCUAAAAAGAAGGUAGCAGCUGCGAACCAGAAGACUGCAUCCUGGGCAGCCCUGGUCCACACCUGUUUGUCAGAGGCAGACCCGAAGACAUUCAAGCAGCACUUUGAGAGGAACGAUUCCAAGUCUCCAAUGGCCCCGGUACUGGUUGAUGUGCAGGCCUAUGUAACCACACACUCAAAUGGACCUACAGCUGGGGCAAGAUAGUGUAAACCACCAUGUUGUCAACUAAAUGCUGUCCUCAAUGCUUAAGUUGUAUUGUCAAUGGCUCAAUUUGUGGAAUUCUGUGAUCACUCGUCGUCUUUAAUGUUAUGAUUAUCAGACACACGAUGACCAGGAUUUGAGCGCUGCAACUGAGACGGAAUGACGUCAAGGGACACGCUGAGACCCUGAGUAUGACAGGAGGUGGGCGGGAUAUUUGUGACAACGAUUUCAAAGGGGUCCAGGCACACUAGCACUCCAUUUUUAUCUCUAUUCCAUGACCAACCUUCUCUCUAGCUACCCCUUAUUCCACACUAUGCCUUUUAUGGCCCAAGGUCCCUCAACUUUGGGCACUUUGGAACUUUCCAUCUUAUCUCUAUAAACGCAGCCUACCUUCACCCAUUUUCCCUAUGCUGCUUUCUUCCCUUGUUGUGCUUCUGAUUUGAUAACAUCUAGACUCAGUAACAUGUUUAAAAGUUUUGUGGUGUACUGUUUCGCUACCCUUUUCUCCUGUGUAGUGCUGUCCUCCUGCUUUUUCCUGGGGUUCAGACUGAAUGCAGCUCACAAAUGACAGCAGCAACAUGUACCUGUUCAAUUGACAAGCAGGGUGUUGAUAUAGCUGUGUUUAGAGAUGGCUUCCUUGUUUUGAGUGUUAAUUGUGUUUCUCACUCUGCUGGAGUUGAUCUAGUGUUUUCUAUAAAACCUACCUUAUACGCAUGACAUUUGUCCAUUUGUAACUCGCCCAUCGCAAUCACAAUAUGCUGUUUUAUAUUUUGUGCUGGUGUCAGCUAGAGAUGACGUGCAGGAGUUUGCAGGGAUUUGUAGUCUUGUAUGAUGUCGACAUUUGAUGCUAAUUAGCCUUUUUCGAACCUGAGAGUAAAUAGAGCUGAA